rnacentral:rRNA from 1 species
UAGCUAGUUGGUGGGGUAAGGGCCUACCAAGGCGACGAUCGGUAGCUGGUCUGAGAGGAUGACCAGCCACACUGGAACUGAGACACGGUCCAGACUCCUACGGGAGGCAGCAGUGGGGAAUAUUGGACAAUGGGGGCAACCCUGAUCCAGCAAUGCCGCGUGUGUGAAGAAGGCCUGAGGGUUGUAAAGCACUUUCAGUGGGGAGGAGGGUAUUUAGGUUAAGAGCUAGGAUACUGGACGUUACCCACAGAAGAAGCACCGGCUAACUCCGUGCCAGCAGCCGCGGUAAUACGGAGGGUGCGAGCGUUAAUCGGAAUUACUGGGCGUAAAGAGUGCGUAGGUGGUUUGAUAAGUUAUGUGUGAAAUUCCUGGGCUCAACCUGGGGUGGUCAGAUAAUACUGUUAGACUCGAGUAUGGGAGAGGGUAGUGGAAUUUCCGGUGUAGCGGUGAAAUGCGUAGAGAUCGGAAGGAACACCAGUGGCGAAGGCGGCUACCUGGCCUAAUACUGACACUGAGGCACGAAAGCGUGGGGAGCAAACAGGAUUAGAUACCCUGGUAGUCCACGCCGUAAACGAUGUCAACUAGCUGUUGGUUAUAUAAAAAUAAUUAGUGGCGC